UACGUAGGUGGCAAGCGUUAUCCGGAUUUAUUGGGCGUAAAGCGAGCGCAGGCGGUUGCUUAGGUCUGAUGUGAAAGCCUUGGGCUUAACCCGAGGAUUGCAUUUGGAACUAUCAAGCUAGAGUACAGGAGAGGAAAGCGGAAUUCCUAGUGUAGCGGUGAAAUGCGUAGAUAUUAGGAAGAACACCAGUGGCGAAGGCGGCUUUCUGGACUGAAACUGACGCUGAGGCACGAAAGCGUGGGGAGCGAACAGG
rnacentral:rRNA from 1 species